CAACGAAUAUUGGGCAAUGGGCGAAAGCCUGACCCAGCGACGCCGCGUGCAGGAUGAAGCUCUUCGGGGUGUAAACUGCUGUCAGGGGAUAAAAAGCGUAGAGACCUAAUACGUCUUGAGUUGAUUGUCCUCAGAGGAAGCCUCGACUAACUCUGUGCCAGCAGUCGCGGUAAGACAGAGGAGGCAAGCGUUGCUCGGAAUCACUGGGCUUAAAGCGCACGUAGGCGGUCCAUCAAGUGUCCUGUGAAAU
rnacentral:rRNA from 1 species